AGAUUCCCCCAGUAGCGGCGAGCGAACGGGGAGGAGCCCAGAGCCUGAAUCAGUGUGUGUGUUAGUGGAAGCGUCUGGAAAGGCGCGCGAUACAGGGUGACAGCCCCGUACACAAAAAUGCACAUAUUGUGAGCUCGAUGAGUAGGGCGGGACACGUGGUAUCCUGUCUGAAUAUGGGGGGACCAUCCUCCAAGGCUAAAUACUCCUGACUGACCGAUAGUGAACCAGUACCGUGAGGGAAAGGCGAAAAGAACCCCGGCGAGGGGAGUGAAAAAGAACCUGAAACCGUGUACGUACAAGCAGUGGGAGCCUCUUAAUGGGGUGACUGCGUACCUUUUGUAUAAUGGGUCAGCGACUUAUAUUCUGUAGCAAGGUUAACCGAAUAGGGGAGCCGAAGGGAAACCGAGUCUUAACUGGGCGUUAAGUUGCAGGGUAUAGACCCGAAACCCGGUGAUCUAGCCAUGGGCAGGUUGAAGGUUGGGUAACACUAACUGGAGGACCGAACCGACUAAUGUUGAAAAAUUAGCGGAUGACUUGUGGCUGGGGGUGAAAGGCCAAUCAAACCGGGAGAUAGCUGGUUCUCCCCGAAAGCUAUUUAGGUAGCGCCUCGUGAAUUCAUCUCCGGGGGUAGAGCACUGUUUCGGCAAGGGGGUCAUCCCGACUUACCAACCCGAUGCAAACUGCGAAUACCGGAGAAUGUUAUCACGGGAGACACACGGCGGGUGCUAACGUCCGUCGUGAAGAGGGAAACAACCCAGACCGCCAGCUAAGGUCCCAAAGUCAUGGUUAAGUGGGAAACGAUGUGGGAAGGCCCAGACAGCCAGGAUGUUGGCUUAGAAGCAGCCAUCAUUUAAAGAAAGCGUAAUAGCUCACUGGUCGAGUCGGCCUGCGCGGAAGAUGUAACGGGGCUAAACCAUGCACCGAAGCUGCGGCAGCGACGCUUAUGCGUUGUUGGGUAGGGGAGCGUUCUGUAAGCCUGCGAAGGUGUGCUGUGAGGCAUGCUGGAGGUAUCAGAAGUGCGAAUGCUGACAUAAGUAACGAUAAAGCGGGUGAAAAGCCCGCUCGCCGGAAGACCAAGGGUUCCUGUCCAACGUUAAUCGGGGCAGGGUGAGUCGACCCCUAAGGCGAGGCCGAAAGGCGUAGUCGAUGGGAAACAGGUUAAUAUUCCUGUACUUGGUGUUACUGCGAAGGGGGGACGGAGAAGGCUAUGUUGGCCGGGCGACGGUUGUCCCGGUUUAAGCGUGUAGGCUGGUUUUCCAGGCAAAUCCGGAAAACCAAGGCUGAGGCGUGAUGACGAGGCACUACGGUGCUGAAGUGACAAAUGCCCUGCUUCCAGGAAAAGCCUCUAAGCAUCAGGUAACAUCAAAUCGUACCCCAAACCGACACAGGUGGUCAGGUAGAGAAUACCAAGGCGCUUGAGAGAACUCGGGUGAAGGAACUAGGCAAAAUGGUGCCGUAACUUCGGGAGAAGGCACGCUGAUAUGUAGGUGAAGCGACUUGCUCGUGGAGCUGAAAUCAGUCGAAGAUACCAGCUGGCUGCAACUGUUUAUUAAAAACACAGCACUGUGCAAACACGAAAGUGGACGUAUACGGUGUGACGCCUGCCCGGUGCCGGAAGGUUAAUUGAUGGGGUUAGCGGUAACGCGAAGCUCUUGAUCGAAGCCCCGGUAAACGGCGGCCGUAACUAUAACGGUCCUAAGGUAGCGAAAUUCCUUGUCGGGUAAGUUCCGACCUGCACGAAUGGCGUAAUGAUGGCCAGGCUGUCUCCACCCGAGACUCAGUGAAAUUGAACUCGCUGUGAAGAUGCAGUGUACCCGCGGCAAGACGGAAAGACCCCGUGAACCUUUACUAUAGCUUGACACUGAACAUUGAGCCUUGAUGUGUAGGAUAGGUGGGAGGCUUUGAAGUGUGGACGCCAGUCUGCAUGGAGCCGACCUUGAAAUACCACCCUUUAAUGUUUGAUGUUCUAACGUUGGCCCGUAAUCCGGGUUGCGGACAGUGUCUGGUGGGUAGUUUGACUGGGGCGGUCUCCUCCUAAAGAGUAACGGAGGAGCACGAAGGUUGGCUAAUCCUGGUCGGACAUCAGGAGGUUAGUGCAAUGGCAUAAGCCAGCUUGACUGCGAGCGUGACGGCGCGAGCAGGUGCGAAAGCAGGUCAUAGUGAUCCGGUGGUUCUGAAUGGAAGGGCCAUCGCUCAACGGAUAAAAGGUACUCCGGGGAUAACAGGCUGAUACCGCCCAAGAGUUCAUAUCGACGGCGGUGUUUGGCACCUCGAUGUCGGCUCAUCACAUCCUGGGGCUGAAGUAGGUCCCAAGGGUAUGGCUGUUCGCCAUUUAAAGUGGUACGCGAGCUGGGUUUAGAACGUCGUGAGACAGUUCGGUCCCUAUCUGCCGUGGGCGCUGGAGAACUGAGGGGGGCUGCUCCUAGUACGAGAGGACCGGAGUGGACGCAUCACUGGUGUUCGGGUUGUCAUGCCAAUGGCACUGCCCGGUAGCUAAAUGCGGAAGAGAUAAGUGCUGAAAGCAUCUAAGCACGAAACUUGCCCCGA
rnacentral:rRNA from 1 species